ACCACCCUUUUCUCUGGUUGCACUGUUGUCCAGUGAGCAGGUAGUAUGAGUGCAGGGCUGUUAAUACCUAAAUAACACACUUGCAUCAACUAGAGCUCUGCUUUGCCUUGGUGCAAUUUUUGAAAAA